rnacentral:rRNA from 1 species
AUUCCAGCUCCAAUAGCGUAUAUUAAAGUUGUUGCAGUUAAAAAGCUCGUAGUUGGAUUUGUGGUUGGGUCCGUCGGUCCGGCACAUUGUGCGGGUACUUGAUGGACUCGUCCAUCCUUGGGUGGAAUCUGUGUGGCAUUAAGUUGUCGUGCAGGGGAUGCCCAUCGUUUACUGUGAAAAAAUUAGAGUGUUCAAAGCAGGCUUAUGCCGUUGAAUAUAUUAGCAUGGAAUAAUGAGAUAGGACCUUGGUACUACUUUGUUGGUUUGCGCACCGAGGUAAUGAUUAAUAGGGACAGUUGGGGGUAUUCGUAUUCCAUUGUCAGAGGUGAAAUUCUUGGAUUUUUGGAAGACGAACUACUGCGAAAGCAUUUACCAAGGAUGUUUUCAUCG